rnacentral:rRNA from 1 species
CGUUACCAAACUGUUGCCUCGGCGGGAUCUCUGCCCCGGGUGCGUCGCAGCCCCGGACCAAGGCGCCCGCCGGAGGACCAACCAAAACUCUUAUUGUAUACCCCCUCGCGGGUUUUUUUAUAAUCUGAGCCUUCUCGGCGCCUCUCGUAGGCGUUUCGAAAAUGAAUCAAAACUUUCAACAACGGAUCUCUUGGUUCUGGCAUCGAUGAAGAACGCAGCGAAAUGCGAUAAGUAAUGUGAAUUGCAGAAUUCAGUGAAUCAUCGAAUCUUUGAACGCACAUUGCGCCCGCCAGUAUUCUGGCGGGCAUGCCUGUCCGAGCGUCAUUUCAACCCUCGAACCCCUCCGGGGGGUCGGCGUUGGGGAUCGGCCCUGCCUCUUGGCGGCGGCCGUCUCCGAAAUACAGUGGCGGUCUCGCCGCAGCCUCUCCUGCGCAGUAGUUUGCACACUCGCAUCGGGAGCGCGGCGCGUCCACAGCCGUUAAACACCCAACUUCUGAAAUGUUGACCUCGGAUCAGGUAGGAAUACCCGCUGAACUUAAGCAUAUCAAU